rnacentral:lncRNA from 1 species
UUGUAAAUCAUCAGAAAGUGAACUGGUAGGUCCAAUUGUCAUUCCACUAGACGCUGGAGCAGUAUCUUGAGAAGCCCAUAAAUCCUCUUUAGGAUCAAUUUGGAGAUAUGUAGAUGCUGAAAAUGAACUAAUGGGUUCAAUUAAAGAUAAGCAAUUAAAGUCAGGAAGAAACUUUGAAUCCCAAACCGGACCUUCUACGAUUACCUCUAAUGGGCCGGAGGAACGAUGGGUAUUAGAAGCAUUGACACUAUCCUUGUCAUCAUCCUCAUCAUCCACAAAAGCAUUAUCACCAUCCUCUACAAUAUCAUCGGAAUUAUCUACCUCUUCAUCUUCACUUUCUAAAUCUUCUCCAUCAUCUUCCUCAUCAGCUACCCAUUCUGCUUCUGAAUCAUAUGUGUAGUCUAUGUCUUCAUCUUCAAGCCAGGGAUUCAAUAAAACGUUAGAACCAUGGGAAUGGGUUUUCGUGUAAGAUCCAAAAUAUGGAGGGCGAACAUCCUGAUAAAAGAAAAUGAAUUUAAUAGGAAUCUGUGAUAAACAAGAUAAAAUUUCUUGAGGUUUUGAAACAGAUGGAUCUUGAUAUGCGCUCAUUAAUUGUCGAACCUCGUUUUCGGAAUUUCUAUUACUAACACCUAAACUGUUUGCGGAGCUUACAGCAUCUGAUGGUGUAAAAAUGUCGUUUAGCUUUAAAGGAUAAGAUUUAGAGGUUGAGAGGACUUCAUCCAAAAAAGAAUCAGAUUCGUUCGGAGAUGGAUAUUUGGAAAGGGACAUCUGAUGCUUUAUAAAAAAAGGGCGAAACUCUUUCUCAAACUCAUUCAGUUCAUCCGUUUUGUCAGCUACAAAAUUUUCGUUUGGCGCGAUUCGUUUCUCAACUCCUUUGGUGAAAAAGUUGUUUAACUUCAAUUGUUGUCUUUCCUUAUUAAGGAUUUGUUCUUGACGAAGGCGCUGUGCUUCUUCUUUCUCACGAAGCUUUUGAUCCCUCUCCUCCUUCCGCCUUUGUUGUUCCUGCAAUCGAAUCCGCUCCUUCUCUAAUUUCUCUAAUUCUUUCAUUUUCUUAGCGGCGAUUUUUUCCUGUUCUCUUAGCUUUUUCUCUUGCUCUCGUUGUUGACGUUCCUUUUCACGUUUUAAACGCUCUGCUUCUUUUUGUCGAAUCCUUUCCUCUUGGGCCCGCUGUUUUUGAAGCUUCUUUUCUUUACCCGCUUCAGCAGAGCCAUUAUAAAUUCUUUUCUUUCUAUUACCCUCAUAACUUAAUUUGCAAACGUACUCAUCAGCUUCACUUGCAGAGUGACUGGAAUGAAUAACCGAUUCAUUCGGGGAACUCACUGAUAAAGACGUAAUGUCAGUGGAAGAGCUACAUAACUCAUUUCCCUUAUUACUAGUAGAGGCCGCGACAUCUGAAUCAACACUUUCACUAUUCAUAGACAAUGCUGCGAAUAUCAAUAACAAGCCUAAGGGAGGCUAAAAACCGUGCGUAAGUUGUUUUAACGGACGCUCUGAUCGAAUAAAGAGGAUAAAGGAGAGUUCGUAAAUUAUAUGUUAAUAUUCUAUUAUAUACAUCACUAUCCCAAAUCUGUCUCACCAAUCUAUUAUUCAUCCAUCUUAACGCUUAUAUAAUUGAAUAAUUUAAUUCCUUAGUUCUAACAAGAUAUGUACUGAUUGA